rnacentral:rRNA from 1 species
ACGAACGCUGGCGGCGUGCUUAACACAUGCAAGUCGAACGGUGAAGCGCCUUCCUUUUUGGUGGGUGUGGAUGAGUGGCGAACGGGUGAGUAACACGUGAGUAACCUGCCCCCUUCUUCUGGAUAACCGCAUGAAAGUGUGGCUAAUACGGGAUAUUCUGGGUCUGUCGCAUGAUGGGUCUGGGAAAGAUAUUGUUUCGGUGGGGGAUGGGCUCGCGGCCUAUCAGCUUGUUGGUGGGGCGAUGGCCUACCAAGGCGGUGACGGGUAGCCGGCCUGAGAGGGUGGACGGUCACACUGGGACUGAGACACGGCCCAGACUCCUACGGGAGGCAGCAGUGGGGAAUAUUGCACAAUGGGCGCAAGCCUGAUGCAGCGACGCCGCGUGAGGGAUGGAGGCCUGCGGGUUGUGAACCUCUUUCGCCAGUGAAGCAGGCCUGCCUCGUUUGUGGGUGGGUUGACGGUAGCUGGAUAAGAAGCGCCGGCUAACUACGUG